rnacentral:rRNA from 1 species
CAACAGGGAUUGCCCUAGUAACGGCGAGUGAAGCGGCAACAGCUCAAAUUUGAAAUCUGGCUCUUUUAGGGUCCGAGUUGUAAUUUGCAGAGGGUGCUUUGGCAAAGGUUGUGGUCUAAGUUCCUUGGAACAGGACGUCACAGAGGGUGAGAAUCCCGUACGUGGCCGCCAACCCGCGCUAUGUAAAGCCCCUUCGACGAGUCGAGUUGUUUGGGAAUGCAGCUCUAAAUGGGAGGUAAAUUUCUUCUAAAGCUAAAUAUUGGCCAGAGACCGAUAGCGCACAAGUAGAGUGAUCGAAAGAUGAAAAGCACUUUGGAAAGAGAGUCAAAAAGCACGUGAAAUUGUUGAAAGGGAAGCGCUUGCAGCCAGACUUGCCUGUAGUUGCUCAUCCGGGCUCUUGCCUGGUGCACUCUUCUAUAGGCAGGCCAGCAUCAGUCUUGGCGGUCGGAUAAAUGCGUGCUAAACGUACCUCUCUUCGGGGAGGACUUAUAGGGCACGCGGCAUACGACCAGCCGGGACUGAGGUCCGCGCAUCUGCUAGGAUGCUGGCGUAAUGGCUGUAAGCGGCCCGUCUUGAAACACGGACCAAGGAGUCUAACAUCUAUGCGAGUGUUUGGGUGUCAAGCCCGAGCGCGUAAUGAAAGUGAACGGAGGUGGGAACCCCUCGGGGUGCACCAUCGACCGAUCCUGAUGUCUUCGGAUGGAUUUGAGUAAGAGCAUAGCUGUUGGGACCCGAAAGAUGGUGAACUAUGCCUGAAUAGGGUGAAGCCAGAGGAAACUCUGGUGGAGGCUCGCAGCGGUUCUGACGUGCAAAUCGAUCGUCAAAUUUGGGCAUAGGGGCGAAAGACUAAUC